rnacentral:lncRNA from 11 species
GUUAUAUGGCACACAGUCAUAUAACCCAGAAUAUCAAGGCAGAUAAUCACAUUAUCUGCUUUGAACUGGAUUAUAUAGAAGUGUGCACUCAGAAAACCCAGUUCAAAGCCAUGAGGAAAGUCUCCUCCAAGGGAGGAGAGAGAAAAAGAUAUCCAACCUGCUGGGGAGAGGACUUUUCCGUCCCUUUCAAAGUUCAUAGGCAUUGUGUUUCCUCAAGCUUGCCUUUCCUCCUUUCCUCCCCUGCAGUUCUGGCUCUUUCUCUUGUUUUCCUUGAAAGAAAAAUGGAGGGUUCUAUCUUCUUGCAAAAGGAGAAAGGGAGGAAAGGGUCCGUGAGUGCAGGAUCGGGGGGGGGGGGGGCUGACAUGUUUCCAGGGCUCCAAACUACAGCUCCCAUCAUGCACAGCACUCUCCUGGUGCUCUACUUCCUCUUCGUAGCUUUACACCCACUGGAGAAGGAGAGGGUUGCAUGGUGCCAUUCACACGCAAACUAUGCUGUACCGACCUUGAGCCAUGAGAACAGGCAGAAAGAGAAAACCAAGAUGGUUUUGGAUUCUGCCCCUGUCUUCUGGAGUAUUGGCUACCCCUCCCAAUUUGGUGUCAUCUGCACACUUGAUGAUCAUGCCUUCUAACCCUUCAUCUAAGUCAUUAAUAAAGAUGUUGAACAGAACCAGGCCCAGGAUGGAACCCUGUGGCACUCCACUCAAGACUUCUUUCCAGGAUGAAGAAGACGCAUUGGUGAGCACCCUUUGGAUUCGUUCACUUAGCCAAUUGCAGAUCCACCUAAUUGUGCUUUUGCGUAGCCUACAUUUGACUAGUUUGUUUGCCAGAAGGUCAUGGGGGACCUUGUCGAAGGCCUUACUGAAAUCCAGAUACGCUACAUCCACGGCGUUCCCCGCAUCUACCCAGCUUGUAACUCUAUCGAAAAAAGAGAUCAGAUUAGUCUGGCAUGAUUUAAUCUCUUUUUCAUCCUGGCUCCAUCCUGGCAACAUGGUCAGAGGCAGCCUUGAGAACAUGGGUGACUAACUACCCAUGUUCUCAUUCACGAAGCUGGAAACAGUGUUGGAUGAAGCUGGAGGCAGCAGGGAAACAUGAGUCCAUCACAUGACACAGGUAAGGGGAUGAAAUGAUGUGCUGCUCCAUGGUUUCCCCCAUUGCCACAAGGAUUCCCCCACUGCCCCACUGAUUCCCCCUCUGUCCCUGGCUUAUGGACCUCCAGCUGAUGAGGUUCUAGGUCUUGCC